rnacentral:rRNA from 1 species
AAUGAACGUUGGCGGCGUGGAUUAGGCAUGCAAGUCGUGCGCGAACUGUAGCAAUACAGGGAAAGCGGCGUAAGGGAGAGUAAUACGUAGGUAUCUACCCAUGGGUCUGGGAUAGCGGCGGGAAACUGCCGGUAAUACCAGAUAACGUCUCCGGACCAAAGGUGUGAUUCCACCUGUGGAGGAGCCUACGGCCUAUUAGCUAGUUGGCAGGGUAACGGCCUACCAAGGCUUGGAUGGGUACGGGGUGUGAGAGCAUGCCCCCUGCUCACUGGGACUGAGACACUGCCCAGACACCUACGGGUGGCUGCAGUCGAGAAUCUUCGGCAAUGGCGGCAAGCCUGACCGAGCGACGCCGCGUGCGGGAUGAAGGCCUCGGUUGGUAACGUACGUACGUCGUAGGGUAGGU